rnacentral:rRNA from 1 species
CAGCAGCCACGGUAAUACAGAGGGUGCGAGCGUUAAUCGGAAUUACUGGGCGUAAAGCGUGCGCAGGCGGUUCGUUAAGACAGAUGUGAAAUCCCCGGGCUUAACCUGGGAACUGCAUUUGUGACUGACGGGCUAGAGUAUGGCAGAGGGGGGUAGAAUUCCACGUGUAGCAGUGAAAUGCGUAGAGAUGUGGAGGAAUACCGAUGGCGAAGGCAGCCCCCUGGGCCAAUACUGACGCUCAUGCACGAAAGCGUGGGGAGCAAACAGGAUUAGAUACCCCGGUAGUCCCUGUCUCUUAUAC